CCUACGGGAGGCAGCAGUGGGGAAUAUUGGACAAUGGGGGAAACCCUGAUCCAGCGACGCCGCGUGAGCGAAGAAGUAUUUCGGUAUGUAAAGCUCUAUCAGCAGGGAAGAAAAUGACGGUACCUGACUAAGAAGCCACGGCCAACUACGUGCCAGCAGCCGUGGUAAUACGUAAGGGGCAGGCGUCAACCGGAUUUCCUGGGUGUAAAGGGAGGGUAGUCGGGAGCGGUAGUCCGGAGUUAAAUGCCGGGGGCUAAACCCGGAACUGGUCAGGAAACUGUGAAGCUGGAGUGCAAGAGAGGUAAGCGGAAUUCCAGGUGUAGCGGUAAAAUGCGUAGAUAUCAGGAGGAACACCGGCGGCGAAGGCGGCUUGCUGGACUGAUACUGACGUUGAGGCUCGAAGGCGUGGGGAGCAAACAGGAUUAGAUACCCGUGUAGUC
rnacentral:rRNA from 1 species